AAAUCUGCCAAGGCGCUUGAGAGAACUCGGGUUAAGGAACUCUGCAAAUUGAUACCGUAACUUCGGAAAGGUAUGCCUUCGAUGGUGUAGGGAUUUACUCCCGAAGCUGUUGAAGGUCGCAGGUAAUCGGUGGCUGCGACUGUUUAUCAAAAACACAGGACUCUGCGAACACGCAAGUGGAAGUAUAGGGUCUGACGCCUGCCCGGUGCCGGAAGGUUAAUUGAUGGGGUUAGCCGCAAGGCGAAGCUCUUGAUCGAAGCCCCGGUAAACGGCGGCCGUAACGAUAACGGUCCUAAGGUAGCGAAAUUCCUUGUCGGGUAAGUUCCGACCUGCACGAAUGGCGUAACGCUGGCCACACUGUCUCGACCCGAGACUCAGUGAAGUUGAAAUCGCUGUGAAGAUGCGGCGUUCCCGCGGCAAGACGGAAAGACCCCGUGAACCUUCACUACAGCUUUACACUGAACUUUGAACCUUUCUGUGUAGGAUAGGUGGGAGGCUAUGAAACUUGGGCGCUAGCUCGAGUGGAGCCAACCUUGAAAUACCACCCUGGGAUGUUUGAAGUUCUAACCUUGGUCCGUAAUCCGGAUUGGGGACAGUGUAUGGUGGGUAGUUUGACUGGGGCGGUCUCCUCCCAAAGAGUAACGGAGGAGUGCAAUGGUACGCUCAGCGCGGUCGGUCAUCGCGCUCUAGAGUGCAAAGGCAUAUGCGUGCUUAACUGUGAGACAGACACGUCGAACAGGUACGAAAGUAGGUCUUAGUGAUCCGGUGGUUCUGUAUGGAAGGGCCACCGCUCAACGGAUAAAAGGUACUCCGGGGAUAACAGGCUUAUUCCUCCCAAGAGUCCACAUCGACGGAGGAGUUUGGCACCUCGAUGUCGGCUCAUCACAUCCUGGGGCUGUAGCAGGUCCCAAGGGUAUGGCUGUUCGCCAUUUAAAGUGGUACGCGAGCUGGGUUCAGAACGUCGUGAGACAGUUCGGUCCCUAUCUGCCGUGGGCGUUGGAAACUUGAGGGUGAGCUGUCCUUAGUACGAGAGGACCGGGAUGGACGUAUCUCUGGUGUUCCGGUUGUCACGCCAGUGGCACUGCCGGGUAGCUAUAUACGGACGGGAUAAGCGCUGAAAGCAUCUAAGCGCGAAGCCCCCCCCAAGAUUAGGUUUCCCUGGGAACUCGAUUCCCCUAAAGGGCCGUCGGAGACUACGACGUUGAUAGGCUGGGUGUGUAAGUGCAGCAAUGCAUUGAGCUAACCAGUACUAAUUGCCCGUGAGGCUUGACC
rnacentral:rRNA from 1 species